rnacentral:lncRNA from 1 species
GGAACAAGAAUGUACCCGAUGACGCUGCUUUAAAGCUUAGUUUGGUAUUAAGAUUUAUCUAAAAUUAUUAGAUAAAUUAAGGGUAGGAUAAAAAUAUAUAGGGAUAUACUUCUAUAUUUUUUAGUGAGAGUGCAGAAAAUAUGGCUAACGCUACUAUCCUAUUAAUAGGAUAUGAGCACUUGUCUUAUCAAGUUGUUCUUGAUGAUCGAGAUUCCGAAUCGAUGAUCAGUGCCGUUAAAGUUGAUCUAGAGUAUUUGAAAUAUCUAGAAACUAAAUUUCAUAAAUUGUAAUAAUGGUUUACAUGGCGAUCAAAGUGUCGUAAAAUCGACAAUUUUUGACGGUCUAUAUGAGCUGUUUGCUUGUUUAACGGUGUAAAGCAAUCCAAAUUACUUGAAUUUUUGAUAAAAAUUUUUUUAUACUAUUUAGAUAAUGUUUGAUAACUCUGAUUACGAACUAAGAAAGUCUAACCUCUAUUUUAAGAAGGUUAUUCAUUUAUGACCGUUCAUUUUUCAACUCUUAAGUUGAACUUGAUAAUUUUUUUUUUUUUUUUGAGAAAUAGAUAGCACGCUACCCGCUUCGUUUAUUUCAUUUAGAAAUAAACUUAGCUAGAAAUGUGAAUCAACUAUGAUUAGAACUUGGGUCUCGGGUACCAACCACCAAGCCCUUUGCCAUUUGUUCUAGGGACGGUCGGUAACUUGAUAAUGAUUUUUAAAUAUUACAAAAUUUGGUUUCUAAAUAUUUCUAAUUGUGUAGAUCAACUUCAUCGGUGCCGAUUAUCAAUUUGAAGUUUCGAUCAUUCAAAUCGACUUGAUAGAACAAGGGUCCCAAUCCUAUUAAUAGGAUAAUAGUCGGACCCCAGAAAAUAUAUCGCAACUAGCUCAUCGCGACACACAAUAUUACGUACGGAAAUAAACAAAAUAUUUUUUCAUCAUAAUUUUUUACUGCGCACAACACAAUCUCCCCGCAAUUCCAAACGAAAAAAAAAUAGAGUUGGGGUAAAAGCAUAUAGCAAUAUGUUUCUGCGUUCUCCUAUGGAAUGGCAAAAAAUAACAAAUAAAGUUUUUAUUUAUCAUACUUUCUCACUGCAUAUAACGCAAUCUCACCACAAUCCCAAACAAAAGCCUAAGUCUAGCCGGUGCCAAGCCCACUUUUGAAUUCUCAAUUCGUGUAUAUAGAUAUACGAAGUUUACAUAUUAUUUAUUCUAAAUUUCACAAAUAUUUUUUGAAUAUUUAAAAUAAAAAAAUAUUGAUAAAAUUAGUGAAAAAAAUAU